UACGGAAGGCAGCAGUGGGGAAUAUUGCACAAUGGGCGCAAGCCUGAUGCAGCCAUGCCGCGUGUAUGAAGAAGGCCUUCGGGUUGUAAAGUACUUUCAGUCGUGAGGAAGGUGUUAAGGUUAAUAACCUUAGCAAUUGACGUUAGCGACAGAAGAAGCACCGGCUAACUCCGUGCCAGCAGCCGCGGUAAUACGGAGGGUGCGAGCGUUAAUCGGAAUUACUGGGCGUAAAGGGCACGCAGGCGGUUAAUUAAGUUGGAUGUGAAAUCCCCGGGCUUAACCUGGGAAUGGCAUUCAAGACUGGUUAGCUAGAGUCUUGUAGAGGGGGUAGAAUUCCAUGUGUAGCGGUGAAAUGCGUAGAGAUGUGGAGGAAUCCGGUGGCGAAGGCGGCCCCUGGACAAAGACUGACGCUCAUGUGCGAAAGCGUGGGGAGCAAAC
rnacentral:rRNA from 1 species